GAGGGUAGAGCUCAGUGGUAGAGCAUGUGCUCAGCAUGCAUGAGGUCCUGGGUUCAAUCCCCAGUACUUCCU
rnacentral:tRNA from 1 species